UACGUAGGGUGCGAGCGUUAAUCGGAAUUACUGGGCGUAAAGCGUGCGUAGGCGGUUCGUUAAGGGCGUCGUGAAAGCCCCGGGCUCAACCUGGGAAUGGCGAUGGAAACUGGCGGGCUGGAGUAUGGCAGAGGGGGGUGGAAUUCCGCGUGUAGCAGUGAAAUGCGUAGAUAUCUGGAGGAACACCGGUGGCGAAGGCGGCAUUCUGGACCGAUAUUGACGCUGAGGAGCGAAAGCCAGGGGAGCAAACGGG
rnacentral:rRNA from 1 species